AAAAAAAGAAGAAAGAGUCGUACAUUUUAGCAACUGAGCCAGCCAGGCACUUCUAGAGAGGGAGGUCUUAAUCUGGGGUUUAUAGACUCCCUUAAAGACCAAACACCUGUUUUUUAUAACAUACAGCAUUUAAUAUCCCUCUUACUAUUCUGAAAUGAAAUUCAUGGAUAACAUAACCCACCUAAACACAUAAUUUAAAAAGCAUUAUCAUCUUCCAUCAGGAGAAAUAAAAGGAAGCUGCUUUAGAAUAUGUAUUUGUUUCCAUAUAUAAAUGAGAGUGGAUGAUCACAGCUAUUUGCCGCCACUCUUCAAAAUGGUGCCUUUCCCAUUGGGAAACCCUGCCCCCAAGAGUCCAUGAUGGGCUCCAGGGGAUCUACAGUUGGGUGCGUUCAUCAGAUUCUCAAGGGGGUCAGUUUCCCAACAAAAGUUGAGGAGCCCUAGCCUAGAGGAUCUCUGCCGGGGGUGGGGGGGGCUCUAUAGGUCUGUCAGCAUAUGAUUAGUGUCAAAAUGAACCACACAAUUCAUGAACUCUACUUCCCCUUAGGCCUCAACCUCUGAACAGCCCCUUCCUUGUUUCUGAGAGCAGAAUAUGCAAAGCAGAGCCAUCUCGACCCUGGUGCUUGAUCCAAGGAGCUCAGACCUCUCCUCCAGCAUGACCGAUUCUGGUCGCUGGGACUCUGUCAUCCAGGGCACUGAGGAAGUGUCCCUCUUUUCAGAGGGACUACUGGCUCUGAAAGACCUCUGGUGCAGAGAAAAUUGAUGAGUAAUACUUUACACCAUGAAGAAAGUGUGGGUGUUAUGUCUACCCAAUGUCUAAACUAUGCAUUUAACUAGGGUAAGAAAGGAGCGAGGUUCAAUCUCAGGAUUAAAUACACUUUUGG